rnacentral:rRNA from 1 species
GAUGAACGCUGGCGGCGUGCUUAACACAUGCAAGUCGAACGAGAAGUGGAGACGGACACCUUCGGGCGGAAGACUUUAUUUCGAGUGGCGGACGGGUGAGUAACGCGUGGGUAACCUGCCUCAUACAGGGGGAUAACAGUUGGAAACGACUGUUAAUACCGCAUAAGACCACAGCACCGCAUGGUGCGGGGGUAAAAACUCCGGUGGUAUGAGAUGGACCCGCGUUCGAUUAGCCAGUUGGCGGGGUAACGGCCCACCAAAGCGACGAUCGAUAGCCGAUCUGAGAGGAUGACCGGCCACAUUGGGACUGAGACACGGCCCAAGCUCCUACGGGAGGCAGCAGUGGGGAAUAUUGCACAAUGGGGGAAACCCUGAUGCAGCGACGCCGCGUGAGUGAAGAAGUAUUUCGGUAUGUAAAGCUCUAUCAGCAGGGAAGAAAAUGACGGUACCUGAGUAAGAAGCCCCGGCUAACUACGUG